CACACACCUCAGGCCUCACCAGUGACUUCACUCAGAGACACUGACUUCACAGGAGACAUUAUGAGGGUAAGACCCUCAUGGGUGAGGUGUUUCGUUUGUGAGUGCCGUGAGGGUGAGGGCGAGUGAGGGAAUGUGCCCGUGAGGGCAGUGAGGGUGAGGGCGAGUGAGGGCCUGUGCUCGUGAGGGCGGUGAGGGUGAGGGCGAGUGAGGGCAUGUGCCUGUGAGGGCCGUGAGGGUGAGGGCGAGUGAGGGCAUGUGCUCGUGAGGGCGGUGAGGGUGAGGGCGAGUGAGGGCAUGUGCCUGUGAGGGCCGUGAGGGUGAGUGAGGGCAUGUGCUCAUGAGGGCGGUGAGGGUGAGGGCGAGUGAGGGCAUGUGCCCGUGAGCGCCGUGAGGGUGAAGGCGAGUGAGGUUUCACCAAAAUUCCCACCUAUGCACCUGGCGAGCAUCAAGGAGACACAGUACUACAGAAUGCAGCACUGCUACCUUUUCCCUGCGAUUAAUCAGGUGAAUAAUGAGGUCACAUUAGAGUUUCUGCUGAUGAAUGAGUAACAUCUCAUUACGGCCCAUGUCUCAUUACGGCCGAAAGUCUCAUUACGGCCGAAAGUCUCAUUACGGCCGAAAAUCCUUUAAUCCCCAAGUGUCUCGUUACGGCCAAAGUCUCAAUACGGCCGAAGGUAGUCUCAUUAAGGCCGAAGAUGUCUCAUAACGGCCAAAAAGAAAAAAGAAGCAUCCACCAUAUUAGCUGUGUAUAUACUGUGUUUUAUGCUUUCCAAAAUGUGUCCGAGGCGGUGUGCCCCCACGGCUUGUGUCACACACAAUGGUUCAUGCACACAAUAUUGCGACAGUGUUUCAUGCAUCCCUCGUGAAAAAUGUUUUUAUUGUCAUAUGUGUCACAUGAUAUUUGUAUGUGUUACGCCAUUUUCUCUCAGUAUUCAAGCAACAUCCUACUCGUUGGUUCUGUGAGCGAACUGUGUGUGUGUUCUGAAAAGUACUCCACAAGGGAGCCCACUGGGAGCUCCAGGAGCCAUAUGACCUAUGACCAUGAUCUUCUCCCCCACUAGCUGCCUUCUACAAUUUACGUCCACCUGAAAUUUAAAAAAAAAAGUACAUAAGGCACAGAACAAAAUGACAUAUGCUUUUGUUUGAUGAUGACCAUGAGACAUAUGCUGUCAAGCAGACUUUUUUUUCCAUAUAUAUUCAAAACAUAUUCAAGAAUUAUGGACAACAAUGACAAUUACGUCAUAAUGAUGAGCUGCAUAGCCAGGAAAGUAUUUCAGGAGGUGUUUUAUGAGGCUUGACAUGGGGUGCAGGAGUCGCCCUCGUCAGUGCUUUACCCAGACCCCCCUACACCCCCUAACUUUUUUGCCUGUGCACCCCCUACAGGGGGUGCCCUUGUGAUUUCAGCUUCAGAUACGUCUGUAAUGAUAUGUUAAGCUGUAAUGAUGUAACUAUAAUGAUGACCUCCCCCCCCAAUUUUUUCUAACACCCCUCUCGUGCUUGGGUUUCUGGAUAAACCACUGCCCCUCGUUCAUUUUCGUGGGGCACUACAUUAGGGCUUAUGCCACUGCACUGAUGUCACAAUGUUAUAAGUGUGUGUCACUCUGGGCAUUCGGAAUUCCUCUAAGCUACAAUAUGUAAAUUCAGAAUACCCGAAGGGUGAGCAUCAGAUGUUACCUGCAGGCUUCAUGCUGAAACGCGUGUACGCAAAACACUUCCGCCGUGGUGGGCGACGUCGUUAGUGUAAUCAUACACGCAAGACAAUUGCGGGCACAUGGAGUAGUGGCAGCAACCUGAAAACGAUACAUUUUCUUGUUAUAUAUGAGUAAUCAAAAAUAUACAUUCCCACAUGUUUCGUUUUGUCGUUUGCAGGAAGCGCUAGUAAGGGAACAGCACUUGAUUGGUCACAUGCAAGCCACAAUGCGAAAGGUGCCGAUAUUUCGAUUACGCGAUCCAAAAUUAAAAGUCUACAACCAUGCACACUUCCCCAUGCAACUACUUCCCCAGCAUCGUGAGACACGACACCCAUGACAUGACACCAUGUAUUCACGUAUAAUGUAAUGUGAAAUGAUAUGCAGGAAUGAAAAAGAUGCCAACAUACCUGUAGUCCAGUGUCCCAUAAGCUUGAUUCGAUUUUCUGGCAGCUACGGUGAAGAGCAAAUGCACGAUUCACAAGUUUCGUUUCGCCAUUUUUACUGCUGUUAAUUUCGCAAACGCCAAGCAAUCCCACGUGACCUCCUUUGGAUCAGUGAAAAGUGAAAAUUACUCGCGUCAUGAACAUAUAUGUUCAUCUCAGCGCAAAUCACGUUUUGCAUGCUAUAGAAGGGAGUGGGAUAAAUACUCUUCCUUUCGUGUUUUGAUAUCUUUUUGUUUUGCUACUCUCACUUUGGAGUUCGGAUGGUGUCUAGCAACGUUGGGUACCUCGUUUCUUGUGUGAGCGAGUGGUUGCUGUUUACGACGUGUUCAUAUAUCGAUUUGUAGUGCUGUAAUGUGCAAAUUAGCGGACUUUAUAGCGGCUCUCUAUUUUCCGUCGUUGUCUUUCGAGCAGCGCCUGUUGUUCCGGUAAAAAUCGAGUUGAAUGAAUCGCCACAGCCCCAACGUAUAUCGCGCAGUGUUGACCAAGUCCAGCAGGAAUUCUGGCAUGGUAUGUGGCUGCACGGAGGAUUCCGAAAAAGAAAAACAACAACAUGGCUAAUAGGAUGUUGCUGCCCAGGGAGUCCUGGCCGAAGAGGUUUACUCAUUCCAGAAGCAAGAAUUGUACAAUUGUAAGGCGAAUGGAAAUAAACUGACAUCGACUGAGAUAGGUGUUCCGUCUUGGCCAGUGACUGUAGGAUGGCUCCAAAAGCGUCACAACAAAGCCAAUAUUCAUCUAGCUCUCUACAAGUAGCUAACUCCACAUAGUAGCCUGCUUCACAGCAACUUCAACACUACCUUGUGGGAGUACACAUUACACAAUAUGUUGCAUUGUGCUGUGGUAUGAUAACAUACCGUUUGUCUCGCAAUAUGUGUAUAUAAAUAUGAUAAGGGCCCUAAGGGCACAGUGCAUGCCUUAUACCCUGCUGAAUAUAUAUCCAUACCUGGCUGUGACAUUGCAUAUCAAUGCAGGUUACAAUACACAUUUUCACAUUUGGCCGUUAUGAGACAUCUUCGGCCGUAUUGAGACUUUGGCCGUAAUGAGACACUUGGGGAUUAAAGGAUUAUCGGCCGUAUUGAGACUUUUGGCCGUAUUGAGACAUCGGCCGUAAUGAGACUUCGGCCGUAAUGAGAUACAAUCGAUGAAUGUAUUAUCCAUAAACUGAUCCUUACAACUCUCCAAUACCUCCAGUCUGGCUUCGAGAAAAUCAACCCAUGGUGAGACAAAUGGUUAGCAGUAAAUACUGACAAAUGUAGCACAAUAUCCUUUACACGAUCCCAAAUCCGCUUACACUCUUAUCAAAUGGGUCCCCAUGCUCUCCAACAUGUGGGCUUUCACCACGAGAGCAAACGUUCGGCUUGGAAGCAUUCCACGGACUCUUGAUCAAUUUUGCACCAAAAUCACGGAGUUACUCAUUUGAAGGCAUGAAAGCAAGGUAAUAAUUCAAAGUGUUAUUGUUUAUUUCUUAAAAUAUAUUAUGAGUAAUACAACAGUCUCUUCUACCGCAUAAUCUUCAAAGGACACAAAUCACUGCCUUGCACUACAACUACAACUCCGACCGGGUAGUGCUGCAGAAUGAUGAUGGGAGCAACAAGUGCCGUCUCAAGCCAUGUAAGCCGAGGAAGCAGUGGGUCAUUCUUCCCUUGAAAUUGGCGUUCAGGCAACAGUUAUGUAACAUUCCUACAAGAUUGUAAGCCAUUACAUCCAUACUUGUUGAACACACCCCAGGUAACAUCAAACGGUAUUGCAACAUUUCAUCAAUGUCAUACUGCGGUGUUGCCCAAACGUCGGUAAUGUCCAUGACUUAAACUUAAUUUGCAAAAAAUCAUUUGUAACACUCGAGUAAUGUGUAUAAAACACCGCGACAACACUGCAGCACAGUACGCACACAUUUCUCCAUGCGCUACUAUGCAAGUGCCGUGUCCUUCCCUCCUGACUGGGAGUGGGGGAGACCUGUAUUGUCAUCAAGCAGGAGAGCUACCUAUGCUGAGGAAUCCGCUUGGGCAUCCCACUGAAUGGAGCAUAUACUGAAACACGAACUGUUGGGGUACUUUCAUUAAGUGUAGUGGGGCGUAAAACAUUUGUAACGGUGACGAUGAUGCAUACUUGUAUUUAACUCAUGUAUCUAUAACGAGUCAGGUAUACCCAACAACAUUCCUGACAUCCCUUCCUGUCAAGUACCAUAUUUUUAAGUCAGGCAUGUGUUAUAUGGGAUACACUCUUAAAAUGAACUUUAUCGCAUAGCAGGCUCCUAGCCAACCAUCAUCUCGAAUGAUAUCGUUAUCUGCCCUGAUUUGUUGAAAACCGGAGGCGUACGCUUUUUUUUUGUGACACUUAUGCUGUUCAUAAUUGUCACAGAAAAGGCGUACGCCUCCCGAAUAAAUUCUCCGCGUGACUCUCUCGUCUGUUGUCUCCUCCGUCACAUACAUGUCCUUAUAGCUUGCAAAAUAUUCUUGAAGUAAACUUUUAAAAUGCACAUCAUACUGCUGAGCACAACUUGCUAAACAAGCAUGUAUGCUGCAGAGCAUCAACUCACAUAAUCGCCCAAACGGUGCCGCUGGCUGGUUAUGCAAUGGACUUUCAAUAUGUUUCCAAAAUACACCGAAUUCAAAAUCUUGGCGGAAGCACGCCCCACGUGCAGUCAGCAUGCCACAGUGCGCUUGUUAAUGUGUGUGUGUGUCUCGGCUGAAAGACUGCACUGGUGGAUGGGCUAGGAUUGCAGCGUGCAGUCGUACCAAGUAUCGUGCAUUAUUCGUACAAAUUCACCCCAAUUCACGGAACCCUCACACUACACUAUAGUUUCAGUUUUAUUAACGUCGCCCGCAACAAAAGAAAUGUCAAACCGUACUGAUAUGGCAGAAACAUAUAAGCUGUUACUCACCACAGACUAGCAUCCACACGAUCACAAUUGCUUUCGCUUUCCUCGCUGCGGCCUCGUUGGCUUGGCAUGGGAUCAGUCAUGAACGGCGAUUCCUUAUCGUCUAUGCAUACGUUUUGUUCGAUGAAAUGAAUUUCUUCGUCUGAACUGUAGUCACACUCAGAUGAAGAAAUGGAGGAACCAGAUGAUUCGCUUUUCCAUGUUCCACCGAGAAGCUAUAACGCGCGCGUACCCGAAACUGAUGCAGACGGCAGCCUGCGGCCCGCGGGAGGCUACCGGUGACGUCACACAGGGUACGGGAGGCCGGACAGGAAGCCGUCUGGAGUUUCGGUUUCGGUAUACGAUUUUCGGCUUUUCUUGCAACUAAGACGUCUCCGACCGCCAAACCAACUUUGUUUCUAAUUUCUAAAGCAUAUUCGGGACUCAUAUGCACAGUUACUAGGAUAGUUUCGAUUUCUCCCGGAGUCUCCCUUUAAGCUACGCGGAGUGUGACCCCGCGCAGUGGAGCCACGUGCUGUUUACUGAUGAGGCAACGUUUAGUAUGAAAUGGUCCCAGAGGAGGCGGGUUUGGCGUCCUCCUAACUGCAGGUAAUACCUUGAGAGUCCGCGCCUGCUUCGAGACGGCCCUAUUCAUUUUCCCUUUUCAGAUAUCUACCCCAGUACGUUCACAGCGUGGUCUCCAGUGGACGGCACUCCGCGAGCGUGUGGGGCGCCCUUUCGCACCAGGGCUUGGGGCCUCUUGUCCGCCUAGACGGGCGCUUCAACGGAGCAGCGUACGUGAGAGUCAUCGAAGAUCAUCUGCUCCCAUGCACCCUUGACGGUCCUUUCCCUGACGGUUGCUUUAUUCUGCAGCAAGACAGAAGCCAGGUUCACAUGUCGUCCACUGUCCAGCGCAGACUAGACGAUCUUGGUAUCAUGCAGCUUGAGUGGCCCGUGUGCUGCCCGGAUCUGAACGUGAUUGAAAAUAUAUGGGGUAUGAUGAAAUUCCGAAUGAGCAAAAAGUGGGUGCCAAUUCGGUCCAAGGACGCCUUAUGGGAUGCGAUACACAUGGAAUGGACGUCCCUCAAGGAAGACGUAGUAUUACACUUCGUGGGUCGGCUCUAUCAAUCGCUGCCAGACCGCAUGUCCGCUGUGAUCUCCGCGAACGGGGGCUUCACGUGAUGCUAAAUAAAAUAUUAAUGAAGUGUCAUUUGGCUCUUUCUUCCUUCUCUUGUUUCUUCGUCAAUAUCGUACGCUUUUAUUUGCCAGCGCCUGUCAUCCCCAGACAAAAUAAAAGGAAGACGAGAACGAAAAAGAGAAAAGAAACUGCAGAAGCCAACUGUUGUCGCUCUGUUUCACUCCUGUUAUCUUCCAGCUGCGAACUGCGAUAAGAAUUUGCCUGGUGAAACGCUCCACGGACAUGCCCUUGUGGGGUAAUUGCUACAAACGCCACGGUGGAUCGGUGCCUGUGUUAUGCCCUGUGCCCCCUCAAAAUGAAUGGACCGGUCCGCUCCCGCCAACUUCCGGUCGCCGCUAGGGUGGCGCGGCGGGUUCCGUGGACUUUUGGCGUAAGUUGUUCAUGCAUAGGUGGGUUAACUCCGCCUAUUAGACUGACGGUUACCAUGAUGCAGAGCGCAUCCCAACGAAAGCUACUGAGGGAUGCUCGUGUGUUUUCUGCAGUGGGUAGUCCGCGACUACCCUAUCCCUAGAUCAGGAAGGACUGCACAACCCUCCCUCUCCUGUACCACCACCACAGUUCCCCUUUCCUUCUUUUUUUUUCACCUUUCCAUCCACUGCAUGCGUGGCUGCACCGAGCCGCUACCCACGAGCCGGCUGACCGCACCUCCCAUUCCCACGUCUCUACGACGCAUACGUCACCAACUUUGUCUGCAGCGGCUAGGGCGUGUCCUACUUUGGGCGUGACUGUCUUGGUUGCUAAGAUAGCUUCGUCAUUUCUCGAGUAGGUCGCGGCACCGGCAUUUGGGUUGUCUUCUCUCUUCGUAAGGGAAACGCAACACAAGCGUUCCAAUGUCGCGGUAGGUUGGUGCAGGUCUCCGAGAGGGCGAGGACGUUGCAGUUGCCCAGUACCGGGUCAGCCUCUAUGUUGGUAACAUGUGCAUUGGGGUUCUGCAUGUUAAAGGGACAGUCGCAUUCUCCGAGGUCAAUUUCGAAACUAAUGCGAAUUCUAAUUCCUUGCCGACUACUGAAGUGGGCCCGAAAAUACCAUUUCGAUCCGCGGCCUACUUUUCGCGUAAUCCGAUGAAAAAGAAACCGGUAUCCUUGCACCCUCGCUCUCUAAAAGUGGGAGCAAACGUCACAGGGAUAAGGCCAAUCAGCGCGCGCCCUGGGCAAAUGCGAGCCGCGCGCCUGUUUGGCGAUCGCGAAGUGAAGGGAGCAAACAUGGAGUCGGAAAACGAGAGUGAUGUUUCCCUGUCUGGGGGAGAUUCUGAUGAACAUGUUAGCGGUAGCGGCGACGAGUUAAUGCUGGAUGAUGACCCAUACUCUACGGACCCAAUGCCUCUGGAACCCGCCGACCAUCCACGAGAUGUGGCUGCGGCUAACCCGCGGGAUGACAUUUUUAGGUGACGUAUCUCUUUGCAUGGUUGCCGUCGGAUGUGCGAAACAGUUUAGGAUGUUGAAAUCGGCAGGUGUCUGUGUGGAGUCUGCGACCCACAGGAGCCAGACGAGCGCCUGUGUUGCCAUUCUGUUGCCAGGGUGGUAGAAAUGUGCAACAGUGCCGCCGUGCAGUGCAUAACACAACACCCAUUACUCAGGGACAUCUGCCUCCGUAGAGAAGUUCUAGUGGUGUACGCGCCUCAAUGCUGCCGCUACGAUCAACAUUUUAGGCGACUCAAUCCCCAGGAUCACAGGUAAGCCUGCUGCAGUGCUCUCUCGUUUGCUAUAUGAUUACGACCGUAAUGAAUUUUUCGGUUUAAAUGACCCCCCCAUCAGGAUUCGGAAGGGUACACUCGAGUGCUAGUCGGGUGUCGUUGGUUAUGCAAAUUGUCGCACCUAAAGUGGACAAGGGCUGUAUACAAAAGGGCGACUAUUCUCAGCAGCUUUUUGGCCUACACAAGUUUGUCCCCCAUAAAUCAUAAGCGUGCACGACAGCCGUGGAACGAUCCAGAGAAUCCUGGUCCAACAAUUCCAUUAGGAAAAGUGAAGCAACACAGCCGCCUCAGCUAGUCUCGACAUGCUCUCAAUUAUGCCAGUUAGCCAUGCCCUGAUUGGCAACACAAAACCCUGAUUGAAUCCAGUGGGAAUUUUAAACUCUGAAGGAAAGUCUUGCAAGUCUGAAAACAGAAGCAUUUGAGGUGGCAAUGAAGGGGGGAAGCAUGUUACUGAAGAAUGUAAGAGUAGCAUAUUUUGGGAGAAAUUGGAUUUUGCCGAAAUUGUAGGGAAGCUGGUUUGGGAGGGAGUUAACAGUUGGAAUCGGGCUCAUCCUGAAAGAGGAGGACAUUUUUCUGUUGUACUAUGUUGCACACCUGCCAACCUUCCACAUUCAAAACGCGGGAGAUCCUGGAACUAAGGAAUGAAUGCACAGGCUUUGAACUCCAAGGUUGGGAUAGUGUCUGUUCUUCUGUUCUGGCCAUUGUCUUCCCAACACUGCUGGAGAUUUGGCAGCUGCCUGAGGUUCACGGCAUAAUCGUCAUUCACAAGAUGGGUCUGGGGAUACCUUGGCCCAAGGAACAGACGACAGGUUCCUGGAUGCAUUGUCCGAGCAAUCAGAAGGGAGUUCCCGUCUACGUCAAGGCUAUCAGCGUUAGGACCAUCGAAACAAGGGUGUCUUGGCAAGAGAGACAAGCUGGUGCAUACUGAUGGCUGGAACUGGAGACCUGUAGUGGCAAGACAAAAAUUUUGCUGACAUAGGCACACUUCGUGUAAGUGAGCCCUUGGUCAUCCCCCUUGUCUCCCAUCAGAGGUUUUCGAGGAUACUAUAGGUGUGGUCUUUUCGUCAUUGCAGUGUGGGGGAUGUUUCGUCUUGUCACUCUGUAUCUCCAGUUGCAGUCAACAGACUGUCUACCCGUCUGUACAGCAAAAACUACUACACGUGGCGGUAUUAGCUCUGGCAUCAAAUCCAGACUGUACUGCACUAAGUUAGUGCCGAGGUGGGUGUAGUGACGGGAAUAAAGAAUGACCCUAUAAUUGUAUCGAUUUAUUGUACAGUGGAGUAUGACGGAGUGGGAAUAACAAAAUAACUUAGGUUUAUUUGCCUCCCAUUAUGUAUGGGAGGCAAAUGAACCUAAGCUAUUUUAUUAUGUUGUGCUGUGGUUCUAAAUUAAUGUGGUGUGAAGUCUGGGUGGUUACAGGUAUGCUGCCACAGGGAUGUUAGGAGGGUUCAUGUUGGCAGAUCCAUAUCUGGUGUACUAAUACGCUAUGCAAGUCUGUGUCCAUUGUUUUCCUCUUCCUGGAAUCAGGGGAUGACAACCCCCUUGUGAGAUGCGCCGUGAAGUGGGAAGUGGGUCCCCAGCACUUGCUUCAGCCAUGACCUCCACAUCUGAAAUAUGGCCUUGAGUGGUAACACUCAAAAGAAUACGCUGAGGGCCUAGCGGGUACAAUAACAAACAUAAAAAUGACUAUGCAAAUAAAUCUUCCCCUUUGCGGUCCCUAUUUCACUGGCACAGUUAUUUUCCUGUCGACAUUACGUUAUAAACGCUGGCAGCCGCAUCACACAAGAUUCCUUUCACAGAACUCGACAAUUUUCAGGGCUCCUACAUAUCCAUUAUUUUGUGGGACGUGCAAAAAGAAUUGCAAUAUUUUCGUGGCUUGACAAAACAUACCAAAUCCAGUUGAUUCCGUUGACGUGCUUGCCGCCGCCUGAAAUAGAGCCAGAAAUUAGCAACAAGGCUGCAGUAGAAUACUGAUGCAAGUGUCUCGGACGUAGCCAAACACAGAUUGCGAUGUUUUCACAUCCCUGAAUGCUGCCAUCAGGCUUACACUAUGAACUGUAGAAACAUCCACUAGCUGCAAUAACAUUAGAAUAACGCUGUCAUGUGGGAGUGUUACGUUACUCCUGCAUAAUACUGGCGACAAUUAGCACAGCAACAACACACCAACCUUUUUUCUCUAGAGUACGCGUACUAUUGCGUCGGGAUGCCGCAAUCAUUGUAAUAAUUUGUGUACAUUAGUAGCCGGUGUGACUGUGACGUUACAAUCGGCGGCGAGGCCAGGUGUUCGCGAUGAUGUUUACUGUGACAACUGAUAUUUUUCAUCGCAGCGUAGCUGUGACCACGCAAGAUUGUCAUUUACCUCCGUUACUGUUUUCUGCCCUUGUUCCUGAUCGAAUGUGGUAGGCACGGCGUCAAUCUUCAGUCGCUUCUGUUUCUGCCGUAGCCCAAGCCGAACUUGCAAUACACCUUCAUCAAAAUAGGCGUCGUCGGCGAAAUGACAGGAACAGACGCGUGAAACAUUCAAUCCUUGGGCCACACCACAGUAGUGGCUGGCGAUCGCUGCCUCCCACUUUCGUUUCGUUUCGCCAUUGCGAGGUCGGUGAAAUGUAAGCUCGGGAUUCGUGUUAUAAGUCUUUCUGCACCCGAGCACGUAGCACCGGUUUCCUGGCUGUGACAUCGCACGUCAACGGCGUGAAAUCCUAGGCCACACGCUGUGGUUCAAAGUACUUCAAAGCAAACGCGACAAGACAACAAGAAAAAGGGUCAGACGCACGCUCAGACACACACAGAAUCUGCGGCGGGAAGGAGCGCCUCCUGAUGGUUGGUUUAUCCGGGUGACGUUAUCCAGUGUCGGCGCCUUGCGGGGAUUGCCGUGCGCGCCGGAAGCGCGAACAUUUAAAAAUCGUUUCUAAGUCAACCAAGUGGAUUUGUGCGGAGAAAAUUUGCCGGCGUACAUUAUGAACGACAGGGAACAUGACCAUAAUAGUUCCGGAACACGCUUCCGGAUGCGACUAUCCCUUUAAGGGCCUCCAUGUGUGUCGUUCUCUUUGGCCCGCUGCACCAUCUUUUCGGAAAUCUCGAGACUAGUAGGUAGCUUUUAGGUAGUAUCCGUCCUGCAUUGCCCGCUUAGCUUGUCGUAUUUUGGACAAAGACGCGUUGCGUUGGCCUGAUGCCUGCCUCGUACACAGACACACUUACGAUUCAA